rnacentral:rRNA from 1 species
UGGGGAAUAUUGGACAAUGGGCGAAAGCCUGAUCCAGCCAUGCCGCGUGUGUGAAGAAGGUCUUCGGAUUGUAAAGCACUUUAAGUUGGGAGGAAGGGCAGUAAGCGAAUACCUUGCUGUUUUGACGUUACCGACAGAAUAAGCACCGGCUAACUCUGUGCCAGCAGCCGCGGUAAUACAGAGGGUGCAAGCGUUAAUCGGAAUUACUGGGCGUAAAGCGCGCGUAGGUGGUUCGUUAAGUUGAAUGUGAAAGCCCCGGGCUCAACCUGGGAACUGCAUCCAUAACUGGCGAGCUAGAGUAGGGCAGAGGGUGGUGGAAUUUCCUGUGUAGCGGUGAAAUGCGUAGAUAUAGGAAGGAACACCAGUGGCGAAGGAGACCACCUGGGCUCAUACUGACACUGAGGUGCGAAAGCGUGGGGAGCAAACAGG